UACGGGGGGAGCAAGCGUUGUUCGGAUUUACUGGGCGUAAAGGGCGCGUAGGCGGUCGUGACAAGUCACUUGUGAAAUCUCCGAGCUUAACUCGGAAAGGUCAACUGAAACUGUGCGACUAGAGUGCGGAAGGGGCAACUGGAAUUCUUGGUGUAGCGGUGAAAUGCGUAGAUAUCAAGAGGAACACCUGAGGUGAAGACGGGUUGCUGGGCCGACACUGACGCUGACAGCGCGAAAGCCAGGGGAGCAAACGGG
rnacentral:rRNA from 1 species